GGCUGCUAAUGGGUUUGACUGAGGAUCAAGAGAAGGAAAAAAAACGUUUUCUGGGCACCUGCAAUCUCCAAACGAGAUACCCACAGAAAGCUACAGCUGAUGGAGGAGCAUCAGCCGAAACCGGAUCCAGCUCAGGAUAAUCGCUUCAAGACAAGAACCCAGAAACUCCUCAGCAUCUUCCACAGUGACCUCUUUCAGGCUCUCCUUGAUAUUCAGCAGUUCUAUGAGGUGUCGCUGGACAAUCAGCCAGUGCCAUGCUACCCCAAGAAAUGUCCUCUCAAG